rnacentral:rRNA from 1 species
UACGUAGGGGGCAAGCGUUGUCCGGAUUUACUGGGCGUAAAGAGCGUGUAGGCGGCCAAGCAGGUCCGUUGUGAAAACUGGAGGCUCAACCUCCAGACGUCGACGGAAACCGUGUGGCUAGAGUCCGGAAGAGGAGAGUGGGAAUUCCUGGUGUAGCGGUGAAAUGCGUAGAUAUCGAGAGGAACACCUGCGGCGAAGGCGGGUUGCUGGGCUGAUACUGACGCUGAGGCGCGAAAGCCAGGGGAGCGAACGGG